CCAGCACGUAUACCAUUUUCAACCAAAUGUCAGUGUGCUGUGGAAGGACAGAAGAAACCAUAUGCAUUAGGAAUGAUUAACAUGAAGUUCAUGUUUGGGAGGAAGAGUAUAAGUGGUCUCCUGGGAUAAUGUAAACAUGCAGGGAAGUUGCUCUGAAUAGAAGCUCGAGAUAAACUAUCAAUGUAUGAAUUAAUGUUGUCAUGCAGCAGUUGUAGCAGCAGCUCCAAGUUUUGAAAUAAGAAAAUAUUUGUAAACACGCACUCUCCUUCGAUCCAGAAAAACCUCCCCAUACCUCCCUCAAGCAGAGACUGCACGCUGGCAGCUGAAUGAGGCCAAGAGAAAAUGAUCCCUUUCUGGGACAGCUGCACUCAGUGACCACAUUGCCUCAAGAAUGUGUAUGGACCAGGAGGAGG
ensembl:lncRNA